AUUUUCCUUUAGGAGUAUCAAAAGAGACAUCAAUCAAACUGGAUAAUUUUGCUUUGACCAUUAAAUACUUGUGGCUGUGUGAGCUAGAUGUUCAUCGAGACACUGCUGAUCUGAUGGAGACAGAUAGAUACUAUGCUUGUAAUAAGGCCCAGUAGGCUUCUUGUUCUGGAAGAAGCAUCAUUUACAAGAGACCACUCUUGCAGGUUCAGCUUUUAGCUGGAUACUUGAAUGUCUGAAACAGCUUCGGGUACAAGAGCUCACUUACUGCACCUAUGAUUGAUUUGACCAGCACAAAUUUUUAAAAUAAAACUUCAG